UCGGCGCUGGGCUUCCCAGCGCCCCCGGCGGUAGCAGGAGGAGCGUGCCGUUAGGCGCCGUGGGCUUCGGGGAACCGCAAGCUGCGAUUGCUGGCUUUUCUGCGCACACGGUCGGGAGCUGAGGUCCGCGGGGAGGGGAGGACAGGAACUAGCAGGGCUGGGUGAUGGCGCAGCCGAUGUGACCGGAGAGCGCAGGAGCCGUCUCGGGCCUCGGCCUGAAACCCUCCGAGGCCCGUGGCCUGCAGAAGGGCCCCCUCCGAGGACAAAUGACUGAAUUUUGGAAGGUGAGAAAUCACCUUCAUUCCCCACCAGAAAAAAAUUAAACCAAUGCUGUGGACUCCCGCAGUGAUUUACUUCUGAGAGAAACCUUCAAAUAUGAGCACAAGGCGUAAGAACCCAGUGUGUUUAGGUGCCAGUCUCAACUUCCAGUUCAAUGGAGCCAUUGCUGUGUCCUCUGACAGACAUUAUUGCCCCUUUAGAUGGCCCGUGUAUUCUGGCUGUGGGAGAAACAGAACCAAGAAGUGGUCACUAGCUUGAAGUUCACGAAGGACAGCACCCCAGACUUGCAAGAGAGAGACAGCGAGAGAGGAAACACAAGCAGGGGG